rnacentral:rRNA from 1 species
AUGAUGGGCAAGCAGCGCCCCUCCUCCUUGUUUAAGAAGCCGGGCAGCAACCGCACCAAGGGCUCGUCGCUGGCCGCGGACAGCAUCGUGGACGACGUCAUCGCCGAGUUUGCCCCCGACGAGAACGACCGAGAGGAGCGCCGUCGUCGUGUUGGUAGGUUCUCCGCCCCGGCACCGCCGCCUGUUCCAGUUGCUCAAAUUAAGGCAAUCCAAGCAGCCGUAGAUGCUGAAAUGGAGGUUAGAUCGGAUCAUGGGUUCGAGCCUGAUGCGGUUUCAGACCAUGUAAACGAUACGGAGGUAGAAUUGCAGCCAGAGGUGGAACUGAAGCCCGAUGUGGAAAUGCAACCCAAACUAGAAGCAGCUGCAGGAUCUAGUGCUGAUUUGAUGGAUGAGAAUAAAAGCUCGGAGGAACUGAAGCAGGAGGCUAAUGGGGAAGUGAAGGUAGAGAAGGUGCGCCGGUUAAACGCUAAGAUUAAGGCAGAGGGCACCAGGAAUGGUGAUAUGUUGAGUGCAACAGCCGGUUGGAUGAAGAUAUGUGGGGAUGGGGAGAAUGCAGGAGUCGAGGGAGAGGUGGCUGUUCAUGAUAUCGACGAUGUGGAUGAAAGCUCGGAGUUUGAGCUGAAGGAUGGAGCCCUGCCAUUCUAUUUGCUGGAUGCAUAUGAGGAGCCCUUUGGUAUCAAUUCAGGCACAGUCUAUUUGUUUGGAAAGGUCGUAAUAGGCAAGCGGUUCCAUAGUUGUUGUGUCGUUGUAAAAAAUAUGCAAAGGUGCAUAUAUGCAAUCCCAAGCAGUUCAGUAUUCCCAAGGGACACAAUAUCAAGGAUAGAGAAGAACUCCACAAGUUCUGAUGCUUCACCAUCACUUCGAGCAACUUUACACGAGUUGUCAUCCGGACUAAAGAGUGAAAUAGCUGACAAGUUCUCUGACCUCAAUGUUUCAAAUUUUGUGAUGACUCCAGUCAAGAGGAACUAUGCAUUUGAGAGGACCGAUGUACCAAUCGGUGAGCAGUAUGUCCUGAAAAUAAAUUACCCAUACAAGAAUCCUGCGGUACCAGCCGACCUUAGAGGUGAACAUUUCCAUGCGUUACUUGGGACAAACAAUAGUGCACUUGAAUUGUUUCUCAUCAAAAGGAAGAUCAAGGGUCCUUCAUGGCUAUCAAUUUCUAAAUUUUUGGCAUGUCCAUCUACUCAGCGGGUCAGCUGGUGUAAAUUUGAAGUUACAGUCGACUCCCCAAAAGACAUUUCUGUUUUGAUGGCAAGUACCACACUGGAAGUUCCCCCAGUUGUAGUUGCUGCUGUUAAUCUAAAAACUAUCAUAAAUGAGAAACACAACGUGCAUGAGAUUGUGUCAGCAUCAGUCAUAUGCUGUCACCAAGUAAAAAUUGAUACUCCAAUGCGUUCUGAAGACUGGCAGAAACGGGGAACGAUGAGCCAUUUUACUGUUAUGCGCAAGCUUGAAGGCAGCAUAUUUCCUAUAGGCCUCACCAAAGAAGCUUCUGAUAGGAACCAGAAGGCUGGUAGCAACGUGCUGGCACUAGAGAGCAGUGAACGUGCUUUGUUAAAUCGCUUGAUGAUUGAGCUUAGUAAACUUGAUUGUGAUGUACUUGUGGGGCACAACAUUUCGGGAUUCGACCUGGAUGUCCUUCUGCACCGUGCUCAGACCUGCAAAGUACCAAGCAGCAUGUGGUCCAAAAUUGGCCGCCUUAGAAGAUCAGUAAUGCCCAGGCUUACCAAAGGAAACACACUAUAUGGUUCUGGGGCAAGUCCAGGAAUUAUGUCCUGCAUUGCUGGCCGUCUCCUCUGUGACACCUACUUAUGCUCUCGUGAUCUUCUGCGGGAGGUGAAUUAUUCUCUGACACAACUUGCAGAGACGCAAUUGAAAAAAGACAGAAGAGAGGUUUCACCACAUGAUAUACCUCCAAUGUUCCAAUCAUCGGAAACGCUUCUAAAGCUGGUUGAGUACGGUGAGACUGAGGCAUGUCUUUCUUUGGAGCUCAUGUUCCACUUGAGUGUUCUCCCGCUUACACGCCAACUGACAAAUAUUAGUGGUAAUCUGUGGGGAAAAACUCUCCAGGGUGCUAGAGCUCAGAGGGUAGAAUAUCUACUGUUGCAUUCAUUCCAUUCAAAAAAAUUCAUUGUACCAGAUAAGUUUGCUGCACGCAGCAAGGAGCUGAACUCUGCAAAACGAAAACUUAAUGCUGAUACCGAAGGUGGAAACGUUGCUGAUCCUACCAUUGAUGAUGAGGUGCAUAAUGGUGAUCAAGGCAAAGCAAGAAAAGGCUCUUCAUAUGCUGGUGGUUUGGUUUUGGAGCCUAAAAAAGGUCUAUACGACAAGUAUAUUAUACUUCUGGACUUCAACAGUCUUUAUCCUUCAAUAAUUCAGCUGUUGAAGAGUUUGGUGGAGAGGAGAAGAAUGGUUAAGUCAUGGCUCAAAACCGCCUCUGGUCUCAAAAGGCAGCAGUUUGAUAUUCAACAGCAAGCUUUGAAGCUUACCGCAAACAGUAUGUACGGUUGCUUGGGCUUUUCUAGUUCUAGGUUUUUUGCAAAGCCACUUGCUGAGCUUAUUACCCUGCAAGGUAGAGAGAUCUUACAAAACACUGUUGAUCUGGUUCAAAAUAAUUUAAACUUGGAGGUUAUUUAUGGUGACACGGACUCCAUAAUGAUAUAUACUGGACUGGAUGGCAUCUCCAAGGCAAAGGCAAUUGCUGGAAAGGUCAUUCAGGAGGUGAACAAGAAGUACCGUUGUCUGGAGAUUGAUCUUGAUGGUGUAUACAAAAGAAUGUUGCUUCUCAAAAAGAAGAAAUAUGCUGCCAUUAAAGUGGCACUAGAUGGUAGUUUAUUAGAGAACAUUGAGCGCAAGGGACUUGAUAUGGUCAGGCGUGAUUGGAGUUUGCUGUCAAAAGAAAUUGGUGAUUUUUGCCUGAAUCAAAUUUUGUCUGGAGGGACAUGUGAUGAUGUUGUUGAGUCAAUACAUAAUUCUCUCGUCCAGCUUGAAAAAUAUAUCAUCACAAAGAGUCUAACGAAAGCGCCAGAAGAUUAUCCAGAUGCUAAAAACCAGCCUCAUGUCCAGAUUGCUUUAAGACUGAAGCAAAAUGGUUUCUCUGGAUGCUCUGUAGGUGAUACAGUUCCUUAUAUUAUUUGCUCACAACAGGAUUCGGAUAAUACACAUUCUGGGGGAGUUGCUCAAAGAGCUAGGCAUCCGGAUGAGUUAACACGAGACCCCAACAAGUGGAUGAUUGACAUCGAGUAUUAUUUGUCACAGCAGAUUCAUCCUGUGGUUUCUCGCCUGUGUGCUUCAAUUGAGGGUACUAGCCCAGCCCGACUGGCUGAAUGUCUUGGACUUGAUUCCUCCAAGUUCCAAUCAAGAUCGACCGGGUCUAGCAACAAAGAUAUGUCUAGCAUGCUCUUAUCUGUAACUGACGAUGAAGAAGAGAGAUAUCGUGGCUGUGAGCCGAUAUGCCUAUCAUGCCCAAGCUGUACCAGUACCUUCGAGUGUCCCCCUGUAUCCAGUCUGAUUUCCAGUUUAUCAGAUACAAAUGAAGGAAAAGAUGCUACUGUGAAUUUCUGGCGCCGGAUUCGAUGCCCAAGAUGUCCAAAUGAUACUGAUGAGUGCAGAGUUUCUCCUGCUGUGCUUGCCAACCAGAUAAAAAGACAGGCUGAUAAUUUCAUCAAUCAGUAUUAUAAAGGUUUACUGUGUGAUGACGAGGGUUGCAAAUAUUCGACUCACAUUGUGAACCUUAGAGUGAUGGGGGAUUCUGAGAGAGGAACCAUCUGCCCGAACUAUCCACAAUGCAACGGCCGUUUAGCAAGACAGUACACAGAGGCAGAUCUAUACAGGCAAUUGUCCUACUUUUGCUAUGUACUUGAUGCAACCCGGUGUCUUGAUAAGUUGGACCAUAAGAUGCGGCUUCCUUUCGAGAAAGAGUUUGCAGUAUUAAACCAAACCAUAAGCUCGGCAUUUCUGGAGAUUCAGAAAAUCCGAGACAGAUGUGCUUUUGGAUGGGUUCAGUUGACAGAUCUAGCAGUGUCAAUCUGA